rnacentral:tRNA from 5 species
GCGCGAGUGGCGGAAUUGGCAGACGCCCGGGUUUUAGGUACCCGUGUCUUCGGACGUGGGGGUUCGAGUCCCCCCUCGCGCACCA